rnacentral:rRNA from 1 species
AACGAAUGCUAGCGGCAGGCUUAACACAUGCAAGUCGAACGGUUUGGUCUCCUCGGAGACCAGAUAGUGGCGAACGGGUGAGUAACACAUGGGAACGUGCCCUUAGGUCAGGAAUAACUUCGGGAAACUGAAGGUAAUACCUGAUACCUUCCAUGUCAAUUGGCAUUGAAGAAAGGCUCGCAAGAGUCGCCUAUGGAUCGGCCCGUGCUCGAUUAGACUGUUGGUGAGGUAAAAGCUCACCAAAUCUACGAUCGAUAGCUGGUCUGAGAGGAUGAUCAGCCACACUGGGACUGAGAUACGGCCCAGACUCCUACGGAGGCAGCAGUGAGGAAUAUUGGACAAUGGGCGCAAGCCUGAUCCAGUCAUGCCACGUGAGUGAUGAAGGUCUUAGGAUUGUAAAACUCUUUUAGCAGGGAAAAUAAUGAUGGUACCUGCAGAAAAAGUCU